AUUGAACGCUGGCGGCAGGCCUAACACAUGCAAGUCGAACGAGUGGCGGACGGGUGAGUAAUGUCUGGGAAACUGCCUGAUGGAGGGGGAUAACUACUGGAAACGGUAGCUAAUACCGCAUACCAUCGGAUGUGCCCAGAUGGGAUUAGCUAGUAGGUGGGGUAAAGGCUCACCAAGGCGACGAUCCCUAUCUGGUCUGAGAGGAUGACCAGCAACACUGGAACUGAGACACGGGCCAGACUCCUACGUGAGGCAGCAGUGGGGAAUAGUGCACAAUGGGCGCAAGCCUGAUGCAGCCAUGCCGCGUGUAUGAAGAAGGCCUUCGGGUUGUAAAGUACUUUCAGCGGGGAGGCGUUACCCGCAGAAGAAGCACCGGCGAACUCCGUGCCAGCAGCCGCGGUAAUUC
rnacentral:rRNA from 1 species